rnacentral:rRNA from 1 species
GGCAGCUGGUCGAGCCAGACGAUCGAGGUGGGACGAGAGACGCACCUCAUCGGACCAUCCGUCCUCAUGAUUAGUUUAGUUCUACCGGGACGUUAAGAUGUGUCGGCGCGCGUGUGUGGCAUCCAAUUGAUCGUUCUAAUGCCGAUCGAGAACACCGGCGAGCGCCGUUGGUGGUACUCGUGCUCGUGGUCGUGGCCGUGCUAAAAGUCAGUCAACGACGACGAGGAGGAUCAGCACGGAGGUAGGUGGCGGUGGCGGUGGUGGGUACCGGCGCGACGGACGGACGGCGCCCUCGCACUACGCGACGACCGAAAGUUCGCCCGGUAGUGGUCGCUGGGGCGCCCGGUCGAGCGGAGUACCGCCGGACCGCGCCCGCCGGUGCUCCUGACGACGGCGACCUCCCUGCAGGCCACGUCGUUGGCGUGGCCGGUACAGGAAGUCGAGGCAGAAGCGGUGUGCGUGUCGCCGCUGACGCAGUCUUAGUCGACGCGGUACGGCCGGUACCGGCCGGUCUAUUCAGGGAGGGACGAGAGGAACGUCGUGGAUCGCGUGGAACUAGAGUCGCACGUCGACGAAGUCCCCGCGUGGCCGGCGCACGGGCUCAAGGAGCCGAGAGAGUCGUUGGACUCCACAGAGCUGGAGAGGACGGACGGCGGGGUCGAGCCGUUGGAGAGGUUCAACGCGGUAGAACUGGAGAGUGUUUUGCUCCUACGGUUGGAGAGUCUCGUUGAGAUUGUCUGGGGCGUAAGCGGGGCCGGGCCUUUUAUUGGCGGUUUUACGCCCAUCCCUGCCUUUUUGGACGGGCUAGUCUGGGGCGUAUAGCGGGGCAGGCCGUUUUAGAGCCGGGGUUGGGCGCUUAUGCGCCCAAAGGAGCAGCGUCGACGCCGCGGGACGUAGUGUGUCUUCGUCAACCGCCCUCCCUGUAAAGUCGGGCGCGCGUAAAAGGGGUGGGGGGAAGGCGGCGGCUGACGGGAACGAAGGCGGGCGAGCGGCGGUCGCUAAGGCCGGUUUAGACGCCGUCUUAGCGCGGCGCCCCGGCGGGGGGUGGGAGGGCGCGGCAGUGCGACGUGGCUGGGGGCAUAGGCCGCUCUUCUCGCCGCGGGAGCAGCGACGGUGGCGGCCCCUAGCUGGUGGCAGCCCGGGCGGGGAGCAGCGGCGGACCCUAGUAGGCAGCGUAGGUGGUGGCUACCUAAACUCGGGCACGCUCUUCAAGAACGAGUGGCUAAGCUUGCUGAGUGUGCUGAGCCUACAACUCUGGUACGAACGCUUGAAAGCCGUCGUCUGUAAUCAGUACAGUGAACGGCACUUCCUCGUGCUUCUGCUCUUGGCCUUCUCUUCCACUCCUGGCUGGCAGCCCGCAGAAACGUAAGGAGCCUUAGCAGUAGAACCCUUACUCUACAACUACGUUCUGAUGAAGCGCCUCUUAGGAUGUAUAGGUGGUGUGGAGAAGGCCUCUUCCAUGGCUUACGCAGCUGGAAAGAAACACUUUUAACAAGUUCGAACGCUCCGUUUAACGGCCAUAAAAUGAGUUUCUUUCUUUACGACGUCCGAAUUUCCCUAAAUCACGUAUAGUUUUUUAGAGGCGUCGAUACGCCCACUAACGUAUACCACAAGGCCGACUGAUACAGCUACUCAUGGAAGCAUCUAAACGUUAACUCAGGCACGCAUCUAAACGUUUUCACCAGUAGGCACAGAAACCAGGACUCAUAGAAGCCCGUGGGUUGUUCCUACUGUGUUUCUUUAACUACCGUAGAUUACUCUCCUCUCCAACCGGACCGUACGAUCCAUCGUAACUAACAUACGUAACCUAUACUUUUUUAACGGGCUUCCGUACCGUUCCUUACAUAACACCGUUCAGAGCACUACGUUGUUAACACGAUCUCCGGCAUCGUAGGUUCCUAAAUACCUAAACCGUAACGAAGAAACCAUACGGCCAGUGAGGAACCACGUGUAAACAGUUCUCGUAGUUUCUUGGGUUUUGAUUUUUUGUUACACUUAAACGUUCCCACGUUCUUCGUCGGGCUUUUAUGUAACUUUCUCGCAAGGCACAAAACGUUAGAUCCAAACGGUAACAGGCACCAGGACGAGCAAAAAACCCUAUUCUUUUGGAACUUUUUAUAGUACUGUACGACACAAUAGGAAAUGUUAUACUAAGAACUUCUACUCUCUCCUUACUUGAACCUUAAGAAGAUGCCGUUACACCCAUCGGCACAGUUUGGUCGAUCUCUGGGAUUGGUGUAAUCUCGAAAAGAAGUCUGUAUGUUCCUCUAACUUUUACGUCUGUGUGUAAAAGUUGAAAUCCUCCUAGAGUAACUCGUGGUAACCGUUUCCCAACCUGCCACUGAGGAAAAACAUAAGUAAACAUAAACAUGAGUAGUGUUCAAAACAUAACGUAAUAAAUUAUAAACUUAUUAAUAAACAUUACACCUACUAACAACAUAACCCAACUUAAACUUAUUAAUAAAUCAAACGAAGGUAAACAACAUAAUACAACCUAAACUAUAAAACGCCCGGCUACUCUACGCCUUUCGUCGCCACGUUCUCGUCUGUGGCGUUUCGGCUGGACAUAUUUUCGUAUAAGCCGCUUAUAUGAAAAUAUGCCCAGGCAAACCCCCUAGAUGUAGACGCUGGCAGGAACGGCCGGGCGUUUUCGGCAAAAGGCGUUUGACGUUUGCGCAAAACGUCCGGCCGCCCUACACCCCAGAUGAUCUCAACGAGAAUCUUUCGGCACGGGGGUGUAUGAGGCGUCUAUAGAGUACCGACCGAGCAGACGGUAACAACGCCAUGGAGUUGUACGUCGUUCAUCUGGAGGCCUACCACCAGCUAAACCGGAGUACAACAGUUGUACUAAGGAAGAGACCCUCCCGAACUGGAGCGUCUUACGAGUGAGGUCUCGCGUUUGGUCAGCGAGAGUGUGGAGUUGGAGCGUUUGGAGCUCCUCGAACUGGAGAGGAAGUUACUGAAACCGGUUGGUUAACGUAGAACAACCAAGACGCUGACGCUCGCCGCCCCAAACGCGGCUUGGCUCGGCAGAUCAGUUCACCUGGUGUAGGGGAACAAACCAACUAAGGGCGACGAGGGCAGCAUCUAACUAGAUAUGACUGUACAAGAACAAACAAGGGAGAGGAAAGAAGAACAACCGUCCCGACGACGUAGACCAAACGAGAGAUGAACACGCAGACGGACUAGGAAGAAACACUCUACACUACCCCAUUAUGGUUAAACGCGGGCGACUUCUUGUUGCUACGACGCCCUCCCCUCUCUCUGCCCCUUCGGGGACACUACCGGCUUCGUUUCCAAGGGGUUGCUCAACCAACGAGUAAUGGUAGGCAACUCAUGAACUAGAUUAGUCUCUCCGCUACCACACGUGACCUCCUUUGAUUUCCAACUCAUGAACUAGAUUAGUCUCUCCGCUACCACACGUGACCUCCGUUGAUUUCCUUACCCACUUGGUUCCCUUUAUUGUAGCCACAAGAUUCUAUAAGACUCUAAUCGGAACUAUCGACCUACAGGAACACGUACUGUAAAAUCUUAAGGGCCUCACGCUUCGCACAAUGAUGCUCAGAGAUCCAAAGCGCCUAGCAGUCGUUCCUACGGCCUCUACUUCUUGUUCAAACGCGUUGGUCUGCUCCUAUGUGGAAAACCUGCGGUGAACUUCCUUCAGUGAUCUAUGAACUCGUAACCCUAUGGGUCAAAGUAGCCCUGCAUGUUACGGUGGGAUGGUCUUCUCCUCGCGACCUACUAAGUUCAUGUUCAUGGUCCUUCCUGCAAAAGCGGUUGAAAAUUUGGGUAUCUUAAAAGAAAGCUACGUGGUUGGACCUCGGAUCCGUUCUCGUACCGUCGAGUGUAAUGGUACCCUGCGUAACCUCUUCAGAUGAUAUUCCUUGAGUUCCUGUGGUAGAUAGUUUAUACACCUGCGGCUCUGCUCGUUACCCUCUACUAGUCGUGGUUCUUCCUAUCUAGGUAACGUCGAAAAUAGGUCCUCGUUUUGGUCGUGUAAGCUGCUGUCCUCUUGGUCUACACGCGUCUGUACUACCUCAACUUCUUCCGUUUCUGAUCCUAGUAGCUCGACCUCCUUCUUGAGUUCAAGUGGGUGCUGCCUAUACUCCUCCUUUAGUUCUGUGAUGACCUCUUCUUGCUGCAGAACCAAUUCUUCUAGCCUCAUAAGUACCCUCUUGGUCGUGGUCUUCUGCUUCUACUGCUGGGGUGAACGGGCCUGUUGAUGUAGUAGUAGCUGCUGUGACUAAGACUAGGAUCACUACUACUAAUACUUCUACUUCGACUUCGGCUGUAAUACCUUAGAAGGUGGCUAGUUUUAAAAAUCUACUGGUGGUAUAUGAUCAUCAUAAAAAAGGGUACAUUAUCUAGUGAAAACGCGAUCAAGAUCUAGCAACAUUCGGGAACGAACUAACUAA